rnacentral:lncRNA from 1 species
GGGAUUGCCUUAUGUAUGACUGUCUUUGAGACUAAAGUCUCGCCCAUCAAGCCCGAACCACCAAACUCAAAGCCGAUUUGAAAGAUCUUCUGUCAAAAGCUGCAUCGAAAUAAAUUACCACCCUCGUGUUCCCUUCAUGUUAUCUCUACCUUCUAUCAACACAUGAGGUAAACGUCCUUUUCUCUAGACCAUCUAGCUCUACCAUGUAGCUUUGGAUUCGCUUCGACAAAUCCUUUCCCGUUAUGACUUUCCCCUCGUGUAUUAGCUGAUUUCUUGAACUCCAGAUUGACCAUAAAGCACAGCAAAAAAGUCGAUAUUGUUUACUAAUACUCAUGUUGAAAACUCAGGUAAGCCACUCCCAUAAACUUGGAAUAGUAUUAUUGAUAAUCCAAGAGAGAUUUAAAGUCUGCCAUACCUCUAUUGUUGUAGGGCAGUCCUGGAAAACAUGAUUGCUGUCUUCUUCUGAAUUAUGACACUAAAGACAAAAAAAUUCACUGCCACUCUUUUGUGUCUGAGAUUAAUUAGAGUAGGGACAUAGUUCCAGGAGAUUCACAAUAUUGUGAUUGUAAUUUUUAAAGGAAGAUGUAAAUUCCAUAAUUUCUUGUAGAAAUCUUUAAUCUCGACCUUUAUUAAAUUAGUACUAGAAUCUAAGUUAGCCUUUUGUAAUAG